UGCUGGAGCACACUCAGUAUCUAGAUUGAU
rnacentral:piRNA from 1 species